CAACAUCCUUAAUCCCUUCCCUGUAAAUCUGUGACCACUGGGACACUUGGUUCCACUAGGAGAGCUUUCAUCCACUGUGAUCCCUCAUCUACAGGCUCAGUGUCACCAGAAGAAUGAUGUUCUUGGCGCAGGGAGGCGCGCACUGACUGCUCCGCAGGGUCCCAGCUCCAGCGGUGCUCUUUCCGCUCAGUUCCCCGCUCCAUGCAGCCAGGGUAGCGCCCGGCGACCUGGGGCCGGGUCGCUCGUCUGGCGCUACUCCUCCGCUGCGCACUCCCGCCCGAACUCGGCCGUGCGCUCCCGCGGGCCACCCCAGGCGCAGCUCUGACCCGCAGCUUCCCAGGUGCACUGACCGCCUGACAGACUCGCGGCCCUUGGGCGGGGAUGUCGGGACCGGGGACGGCCGCGGCGGCACUGCUCCCCGCGGUCUUGCUGGCCUUGCAGGCGCCCUGGGCGAGCCGAGGGGGCGCCGCCGCACCCACCGCACCCAACGGCACGCUGGAGGCAGAUCUGGAGCGCAGCUGGGAGAGCCUGCUGGCGCGCUCGCUGAAGCGCCUGCCGGUGGCAGCGCAGCCCAAGGAGGCGGCCGUCCAGAGCCGCGCCGGCGAUUACCUGCUGGGCAUCAAGCGGCUGCGGCGGCUCUACUGCAACGUGGGCAUCAGCUUCCACCUCCAGGUGCUCCCCGACGGCAGCAUCCGCGGCGCGCACGGGGACACCCGCGACACCCUUCUUCACCAGUGAGUGCAAGUUCAAGGAGAUUCUCCUCCCCAACAACUACAACGCCUACGAGUCCUACAAUUACCCCAGCAUGUUCAUCGCUCUGAGAAAGAACGGGACGACCAAGAAUGGGAACCGGGUGUCACCCACCAAUAAGGUCACCCACUUCCUCCCCAGGCUGUGACCCUCCGGAAGAUCCCUGCCUCAGCCUCGGGAAGCCCCCGGGAGGGGAGCACCGAGGGCCGCCUUGGUGCACUUUCUUUGGAUAAGAGUUUAAUGCAACAGUAGGUGUAAGAUAUUUAAAUUAAUUAUUUAAAUGUGUAUUGCCACCAAAUUAUUUAUGGUUCUGAGGGUGUGUUUUGUAAUUUUCUGGGGGGAAAAAAACAAAAAGCGAAAAAACCAAAAAGCCAACUUUGACUUUUCUGGUGCACCAGUGGAGAAUCUUACCAUUGGAUUUCUUUAACUUGUCAAAAAGUUGUCAGGAGUGUGCUGCUAUUCUGUGUUUUAAAAUAAGGUGACCUUGGAUUCCGAUGUCAAUCCCUGUAGUAUGAUGUGGAGCAUCAUCUCUCUGUACGGAAAGGCCUGCCCGAAGCUUGGGAAGCCAGUUCAGGGGGCUCCCGGCUAGUAACCUUAGAGGCUGCUCCCUUUGUGCCCUGUUGCUAUUAGUCGGGACAUAUCGGUUUACUUUGGGCACAGAAAGUUCGCUGUCGAAGUCCUCGCUGCCACUCUGUUUUUAGAUCUGCCAAUACAGACCCGUGAACUUUCCUGUAGUCAAUCUUCCUUGAUCUACCAGAUGGGAGAGACCCCUGGACAACUUUAUAAACUCCUGUUUGCCUUUUUUGGAUCAGCGACAGCCCCCAUCGCUGUGAUCACUGGGGAAAAGACAGAGCUAUUUCAUAAAUUCCGUGAAGAGGAAUCGGUAUCCCACUGGAAGGCUAGAAAUGGAGAAGAUGGUGUAUUUGCAAUCAAGACAAAAACCCUAGUGAUGAAAAAUAAUCUGUGAUAGCAGAUGCUUCUGAUGGUGUGUAGAAUAUAUAUUUUAAAACAAAAAAACUCCCACCCUCACCCCCACCCCAAACGGGCUUCCCUGUGCUUACUUAGGGAGCUUUGGGCUAGAGCUAGCUAUUAUUUUUAGGUAAAAUGUCCUUGUAAUUGUACAAAACACUUGAUGCAGCGUUUGCGUGGAGGAGGCUGCUGCUUUCUGAUGCAUUCCCUGCUUAAGUGCGUUUAACAUCUACCUCACAAGCCCUGGAAUCUACAGAAAGCUCAGACCCGGUGCAGGCGUUUGCCAUCCCAAGUGGCUUUUUUUUCCAUAUGUAGCCAAAAAAGAUUGCAGAUAGCGUCGGUGCGUCCCAUUCGAAUCUUGGCACGUUUGAGCUAUCUUGACCCCGUGAUUUACUUUUAGUAAGGGUGAUCAUGGUGAAAAUAUUUGCAGACAGCUGUUACAGUGCAUUAUAUGGUCACCAAGUAACCUUGUUUUUCUUUAUAUAUUUUACAAAUGUAACCCCUGUUGUUGAAGGAACUGUGGAAAAGGCAGGGUGGGUUAUGUUUAAAAACAGUUCCGAGGUGAUGGCAAACAUUUAAUUUUAAUGAAUGACGUUUUAGAGUUUAUACAAAAUGACCUUAGCUUGCUACCAGAAAUGCUCCGAAUGUUUCUUCAAGACUUUAAUACUCUCCUAGGAUGUUUCUGAACUGUCUACCGAAUUAACUUUAUGGGAGUCUACAGACAGCAAGACUGGAAAAUCUGAUCGUAGUUUUUGUCUUUCACAUUCCUUUUGAAAACGCUUUGUUUGAAUGCAAAUCAUCGACUUAAAAUACUAUUCUUAACCGGAAGAAAGAAGACACUUGUAAAGCCACUAAGACAGGACCACACAUCUUCAACUGCUGUUCCUACAACGUAAUAAAAUGUUCCCAAUUUUAAAACCACACCCUAGACUCCAGGACUGUUGAGGAAAGAUGACCCUCGUAGGUCUGCAUGCUGUUCGGGAUUGGGGGUUUGAAGGGAUAACUGAGGAUUUUCUGGAUUUUAAUGUAUUCAUCUAAUAACAAACCAUGAUUGUCUUAAAUGCCUUAAAUUAUUAUGGAAUUUCUUGUCUCUGAGCCCAAUCAGAUUGUCAGAAUUAACAUGUGUUAGGCGCAGCGUUUGAUCACCCUUGACCACUUCUGUAGAUGGUUCUUCAACAAAUCAUGUGUGUUGCCUGUAGGGACGUAACUGCACCUUUCAAAUAUUGUUUUCAUAUUGCUGUGAUGGGGAUUCAAGGUUCCUGUAUGUCCCGCUGUUUUCAGAAUCUGUAGUUUUAUACAGAUGCCAACCGACCCUCGUUGUGAUGUAUGUGCUGCGCACACUGCUGUGCUGACCACCGUGAUAAGCGUUUAUCCUGUAUAGAAAGACGCCGCUGGACUGGAUACAUGCAAUUGGGAAAGGAAUUAAAAACUAUUAAAAAUGGGCCUUGAAAUGCCAAAAAAAAAAAAAAAGAAUGUUGGUCUUUUCCAGAUAGCUGGAUUACACAGCAUUUAACUUUAUCUUAUUUCAUUUUUUAUGAGAAGUUAUGAAAUUGGAAUAAAAAGCAGAAACAAAGAAAGAUAUCUUCUGAAAUAUACAUUUUAUAAGAACCAAGGAAUUAGUACCUGAAAAAAUAAACUAAUACUUAAAAUUAGUUUAUAUAGGGAGAUAAUUAUAUUUCUUGCCAAAAUGUCUAUCACCCUACUGAUUCUCUGUUUGAAAUAAACAUUAGAACUUUUAUAUGUAGAAAUAUGAAAUUUUACAAAUUUGCCAUAAGAGGCCGGAGAACUAGCUUGCUCUUUUUCCACCAUGUGAGACUACAAUAGGAAGUCAGCAGUCUGCAAUCAGCAGUUACCAGAACUUGACCAUGCUGAUGCCUUGAUCUUGGAUUUCCCAGUCUCCAGAACUAUGAGAAAUAAAUGCUUCUUGUUUAAGCCACCCAGUUUAUGGUAAUUUGUUAUAUCAGCCUGAAGUGAUUAAGACAAAAAUGCUGAGCAACAGGACUAUAUAGUAAAAUUCCAUAACUUGUUCUGGAGUUUUAGAUAUAUUACAAAGGUCUGGAAUGCAAUAGGUCCUCAGAGAUUGAAUAUGGCACCAGCAAGGGGAGUGUGGACAUGAGCCAGAUCCUAACAGAAAGGAUAUUUGCCCUUUAUGGCUCCUUUAUGGAACCUCCUUUAUGCUUCCUUCCAGGAGCAUGCAGCCCAGAAUGCAGGUCUGAUGGAGUGACUGGUACCACAGGCAUGUCGGAAUCAGAGAAUCAUGAUUGUUCUUGUAAAUGAUACUUAUGGACCAAACAGGCACAUUGGGCUCAGAACAUAGCAAUUUUUUCCCUAAGUCUGUCAGUGCAUAUAUCUUUUACAGGCCAGGUAUGUCAAGAGUCUACAUUUGAGAAAGGUCUUAAAACCCAUACAAUAUACAUUUUGUACACAAUUUCAGAAUUCAUAACAGAUUAUACUCAAGAUACUGCAUUUUAUCCAGUGUGUUUUUACAUUAUAAUUUCACAGGGUAGGAGCUUCUCAUUUUCAAUGCCAAUUUACUUUUAUGUGAUAUUCACAUUUUGUACCAAUCUGGUGUUCAGAUUUUAUAUUACUUGAUAUGAUUAUUUAAAUGCAUAAUCACUUUAAGUUUCUGUUAUAAACUUAUGGGUAGUAUGACAUAAUAUAAAUUAUAUUAGAGAUGGUAUAUUUAAUAUCCCCUAAAAUACUAAAUAACUUACCAAUAUCCUAGUAUUUAAAUACAUAGUUGAUAAC